AGCAGUAGCCGCGGGAAUACCGGGGGUGCAAGCGUUAAUCGGAAUUACUGGGCGUAAAGCGCGCGUAGGUGGUUUGUUAAGUUGGAUGUGAAAUCCCCGGGCUCAACCUGGGAACUGCAUCCAAAACUGGCAGGCUAGAGUAGGGCAGAGGGUGGUGGAAUUUCCUGUGUAGCGGUGAAAUGCGUAGAUAUAGGAAGGAACACCAGUGGCGAAGGCGACCACCUGGGCUCAUACUGACACUGAGGUGCGAAAGCGUGGGGAGCAAACAGGAUUAGAUACCCGCGUAGUCCCUGUCUCUUAUAC
rnacentral:rRNA from 1 species